AUUCGCUGAAGGUCCUCUUACUUUAUGGUGAUUCUUUAUAAUUGAUCACUUCUUGUGGAUUUUACAAUGACUUUGAUACCCAAAUCUCUCGAUAAAUCGGAUGACAUUUUGCCCCAAAUACCAAUUAAGAGAGAGACUACUGUACGUACAGUAGACUCUUCGAUAUCCAGCACUUCGAUAUCCGGGUGACAGCUGCCAAACACUGGCGGUUGAUAUAUUCAAAAUUAUUUUCACUAAACAUGAAGUUUGUCCAGAGUGAAUUAAAGUAUUAUUAACAUUGUAUCGAAGUUUUUAAUACAUAAUUGUGAUAAAAAAUGAAACAUAAGCACACCAUGAAGAAAAUUCUCUUUUUCUUUGUCAGACAGAAAAUAAAUUCACAGUGCACAAAAUAGAAAAACCGUUGAUCAUUCAAAAAACCUAAAUGUCAUUUUGUCCCCCAGUCAGCCGGAUAUCGAAGAGUCUACUGUAUCAUUAAAACUAUUCUUCUUCUUCUUCUUCUUCCAUUUUAUGUUAGGCUGUCGGACUCACUUGUAUCCAUACAGCCAAAUUUUAAAACUGUUCCAGUGAAAGAGAGAGAUGAUUAGAUUGUCUGCACUCACUAUUAUUGACAUGUCAAAAAAUAUUUAUAAAACAAUUAUUAUUGUGCGCUAGGCAUAAUGACCAGCGCAUAAUAUGUAGCUUUUGUUUGUAAAGAUAUUUUCAAAAUUUCCCAUGAGAAUGAGCGAGAUGGCUAGAUCUAGAUCUCACUUAUUCCCAUUGUAAUGUCAAAAACAUGCUUACUAAAUAAAAGUUAUUGUGCGUUGGGCAUAAGCCAUCAACUCAAUAUAUUUAGGGCGAAAAAGCGUGAUUUGCAGCAAUUAAUCUGCAAUUUUAAAGCACUUUUAUAAAAGAAGGGUCUGACAUUAAGAAAAUAAUUGAUGGUAAUUAUAAUUUGUACAAAUUGUCGAGAAAUAGAAGAGUUCAAAAGUAAUUUCCAACCCUCGGAAUAAUAAUAAUGAGUGGUCCAAAAACAAAGUUUCUUCUUUGUUCUUUUUCUUUUCUUUUAAAAUAAUAAUUUCAAUAUAAUUUGCUAUAUAUAUGUAACUUCAAUCUAUUUUCUUUUCACGAGUUUAAAAAAAUGACCCAGAUUUUUUAUGAAACUAAAACGGAUUUUCUCAUUGCCAUUCUAAAUCAUUAACGAAAAUGAACACUUGACUUUUAUUUCGGUCGGAAUUCUUUUAUUUCGAAAUAGAGAUUUCGAAUUAGAAUACUCUCGUUUAAAUGGAUUCUAAAAAUUUAUUCAGUAUAAGACAAUAAACUUAGCUAGUGCUGAAAUGACGAUGUAUUUUUUUUUAAAUGCUAUUAAUUUUGAAGCUCGAGAACCUUCUCUUCAUUUUUUAAAUAAUGAAAACUCUGAGUUUAGUUUUUAAUUAACCUCUAACAACUCAUCAAAUAAGAACCUUUAAUUUUGACACUAAACAAAACAUUAAACUUUAACCUUUUGGCAAAUUAAAGGUGAACCAAGCUAAAUAAUUACUCUUGAACAAAAACUUUUGUCAAAUUAACCAAGAAAAGGUUUGUCAAAAGGACGUCCUUCCAAAGUAAGAAAAAGUUUUGUCAAAUUGGUAAAAAACAUCCUUUAGGCAAAAUUUUAACAAGAACCGUUUGACCAACUUUUCAGACUAGAGAUUUAAAUUUAAAGCUUCCUAGUAGUAAUUGUUUUUCUGUAAUUCAAAUCGGAAUAUUUCUCAUAACCUUUAUUGAAAUAAAUCCUAAAAAUAUAUUCUCCAACAAGUUGUAAAAAAUACAUAAAUAAAAAGAAAACUUUUACCUUAUUAGUAUUUUUCUUACGUUUAAUUGUAAUUUUAGAAAUAAAAUCUUUGUGAGCAUAUGACAUAUAUUAUUGUAAUCUUAGUGAUAAUAAAAAUGAAUAAAAAUUCUAUGAAUAUGAGAAACAUAAAAAUGUCUAAAGGUUUUUUUCAUAAUUCAUAUUCUGCUCUACAAAGUUCUUUUUAUGUCUCCCACGUAAUUGAAAAAUAAUAAAAACAUGCCUUAGAAUUGCAAAAAUAAUGCAGUAAAAAAAAUAUAAAAUUUUGUAAUGUGUAAUACUUGAAAGUUCUAUUGUCCAUAAAAAUUCUAACAAAUUUUAAGAUUCUUUAAUUAAAAAUUGCGUAUGGAAUACCACUCAUUCAAUUCUCGAGCUCUUGUGAUUUCUAAACUACUCUGAAAAAGUUUUGUCAAAUUAACAAAACAAGUUUGUCAAAAGGAUGUUCUUCCAUACAGAAUAUAGAAAAGUUUUGUCAAACCGGUGGCCAACUGGAUUUUCUUAAAAAAUUCUUAAAAUGGUGUUUUCCAUAUAAAAUGCGAGAAAAGUUUUGUAAAAUUGGUAAAUAACAUUCUUUUGACAAAAUUUGAACAAUAUCCAUUUGUUCGUUUAAUAUAACUGCUUUUCAGAGUACCCUGAAAAAAGUUUUGUUAAGCAGACAAAUAGGUUUUGUUAAAAUCUUGUCAAAAGGAUGCUGUUUACCAAUUUGACAAACCUUACAUUUUAUAUGGAAAAACAUCCUUUUGACAAACUUUGAACAAUAUCCAGUUGGUCAAUGAUUUGACAAAACUUUUCCACAUCUUUUUGACAAACUUUUCUUGUUAAUUUGACAAAACUUUAUUUUCAAAGUGUAUUUCGAUCGAGAUGUUAUUUAGAUUUUAGAUAAAUCAGAAUUAAAAAAAAUCGUUCUUUGAAUUGAUGGCGAAUUUUCCAUUUCAAUUUAGAAGCAAAAAACAUACGCGCGAGUAAAAAAGCUUUAUUCGACAAUCAAUGCAAAGCACAAUAAAAAAAAUUAAUGCAGCUUGAUCAUAAAUAGACUUUUUAUUGCAUUCGAGAACAUUAAAUAGCAAUAGUUUCACUUUUAUACUUAUCGAAAUGGAUUACCGAGAAUUGAUUUUUAAAUCAUUCGUAAUUAUCUGAAUACAUUUAUUUUAUGAAAAUCCACCGAAAAAUCCCACAUAAAGGGGAUAAAAUUAAUUUAUUUAAAUUAUUCAAAUUAAUACACAUUGGGGCUUCAUUCUCUAAUUUUGCUAAUAGAUUUAAACAUUUUAAAAUUCAAUGCAUUUUCUUAGCAAAAGGAGAUUUCUAAAAUCUUCUGAAAUGAACUGAAUUAAAUUUUAAAUCUCCUCUUUUUUAUAAAAUGAAGAAAUCAGACAAAUUCUAUUUUUUAAGGUUAUGAGCGGCAUAACCUUUAACUGUAAUUUAAUAUUUUAAUUUGGAAAAGAAACCGAAGAAACCUCAGAGAAAAAAAAAUACCUAAUUAUUUUCUUAUUUUAAAAGAUUUUGUUUUAAAAUGUGAUUUUUAUUAUCUAACCUCAAAUUUACAUGAAAAUUUGCAAUCUAACCUCUGAAAAAUGAACCUAAUUACAGUAGAGACUCCCCCUAAUUCUACUCUUUAUCGAACUACUUUCUAAUUCGGGUAGCAGUUAAAUUUGAAAAAAGUUUAUCAACAUUUUUCGAGUUUUCGAAUGAAGCAAAAUAUGCUUAAAUUUUAGUUAUGAUAUGAUUUUGCAGGGUUUUCAUGAAAUUUACAAUAAAUAUGAGAAUGUACAGUAGAGUCUCGAUAUAGUCCAUAUUUGGUUUCAAAUUUGACACUUGGGUCGCACUAAUAGUCCAUGUAAUUUUUUUAAAAUUAUCAACGAUUUUUAGUAUUGAAAUUGCUCGACGGCUUCCACUUUCUUUGCGAUUGUGCUAUUUGUCCUCGCUCUCAUCAUUAUGGAUUACAAUUAUCACAACUACUUAAUAAAGUUUGCCAAAAAUAUUAAAAUAAUUAUGCAUGUCGCAUACUAAAAAACAUAACCUAACUUAAAAUUAGUGUUUUGAAAUCAACGGUCGAUAACUUGUGGACUAUAGAGCGAUGGUCUAUAGCGAGACUCUACUGUAAAAUAAAUAUGAAAUUGAAGUUGUACUGCUAAUAAUAAUGUUUCAAUAAGAUUAAUAAAUGGCUCGAUCUUACUGAACUGAAAGGCAUAAUUCGAAAACUCUUGGUUCUGUUAAGCGUUACGUUAAAAUAUUCAAGACAUUUUUUGUGUUAUAAUUAUAAGGGUUGUAGGGUACUAAUCUGUUGUCCAGAGGGAUUUUUGAUAUUUUUAAGGAUUUUUGUCAAUUUUUGCAAAUAAGAUUGCAGAUUUAUUGCAAAAAAUGCAUGUUUCAUUGAUUUUCGCCACUUCCUUUGAGGUUAGGUCAAAUAUAACCCUUUAAAUUCAGGAAUACAGUAGAGUCUUCUAAAUUCGAACGCUCGGAGGGUAUUUUUGACAUUUCUCACCUCCCAAUCCGAACGAUUUUUUCAAAACUAACGAAAUUUAUGUGAAAUUAAAUUGCGUUUUGAAUCAAAUUCUCAUACUUUUUAACAAGUCUAAAUAUAAAUAAAUAUGAUUUUCAUUCAUCCAGAAUACGAAUUUUUUAACAUAACCCCACAAUUGGCAUUUUGAAUCCAAACGUCGUUCGAAUUUGAGAGAUUCAGAUUUGAGAGAUUCUACUCUAUGUCUACCGAAAGAGAAAAUUAGGCUCAUUGAUUGAUAAUGUGUUUUAGGUUAAAAAUAACCGCAAACAAAAGAAUAAUUAUGUUUCUAUUUUCUAUUUUCAGGUCACAAAAAUGUUCCUAUGAAUUGAACUGGACUCUUUAUUGAGAAAUCUCCAAGAAAGAUGUUUCAAAAAUGUUUCUAUGUGUUCUACAAUUGGGGAUUCUUUGAUGGAGACUCUCCUCUGAGAAAGUAAUCUUUUAGAAAGCUUUCCUGGAUUUUAAACCAAAAAAAUGGAAAGGUGCGACCGGGCGAAUGUCUUCAACGGCCGUCCAAAGUAUUAAAUUUUUGGAAACUGACUGGUCGGUGGGACUUUCGUCCGUUUGAACCACCAUGGUGCACCGGCAAAAAAGCCCAGUGUGUUCCCCUGGUCGGCGUCUGUCUCGUGAUAAGAGAGAUUGCAUAAUGGGACACAGUGUGACCCUCACGAGUGAUAAUUGCCUUUUUCGCCAACUUUUUUUUCUCUCUCUCAACAGCCCUCAAUUUUGCCGAGGAAGCCACCGGAGAUUGUGUCGCUGCCACAGAGCCAGAGAAUUCCGCAAUAUUUGCAUUUGUAGUGGAUUUAGAGAAUGAUAAUAAAAUUUACACUGAUAACAA